rnacentral:rRNA from 1 species
CUACCAGGGUUUCUAAUCCUGUUUGCUCCCCACGCUGUCGUGCCUCAGCGUCAGUUCCGGACCAGUGAGCCGCCUUCGCCACCGGUGUUCUUGCGAAUAUCUACGAAUUUCACCUCUACACUCGCAGUUCCACUCACCUCUUCCGGACUCAAGACACCCAGUAUCAAAGGCAGUUCCGAGGUUGAGCCUCGGGAUUUCACCCCUGACUUAAGUGCCCGCCUGCGCACCCUUUACGCCCAGUGAUUCCGAACAACGCUAGCCCCCUUCGUAUUACCGCGGCUGCUGGCAC